rnacentral:rRNA from 1 species
AUUGAACGCUGGCGGCAUGCCUUACACAUGCAAGUCGAACGGCAUCGCGGGAAAGCUUGCUUUCCUGGCGGCGAGUGGCGAACGGGUGAGUAACACAUCGGAACGUACCGGCUAGUGGGGGAUAACCCGUCGAAAGACGGACGAAUACCGCAUACGCUCUUCGGAGGAAAGCAGGGGACCUUUUGGCCUUUCGCUAGCCGAGCGGCCGAUGUCCGAUUAGCUAGUUGGUGGGGUAAAGGCCUACCAAGGCGACGAUCGGUAGCGGGUCUGAGAGGACGAUCCGCCACACUGGAACUGAGACACGGCCCAGACUCCUACGGGAGGCAGCAGUGGGGAAUCUUGGACAAUGGGGGCAACCCUGAUCCAGCAAUGCCGCGUGGGUGAAGAAGGCCUUCGGGUUGUAAAGCCCUUUCGGCAGGGAAGAAAUCGGCGGGGCGAAUAACCCUGCUGGAUGACGGUACCUGCAGAAGAAGCACCGGCUAACUACGUG